rnacentral:rRNA from 1 species
GCCCUUGCGGCGUUGCUUACCAUGCAAGUCGAACGAUGACUUUUGUGCUUGCACAGAAUGAUUAGUGGCGAACGGGUGAGUAACACGUGAGUAACCUGCCCCUGACUCUGGGAUAAGCCUGGGAAACUGGGUCUAAUACUGGAUAUGCACCGUAGACCGCAUGGUUUUUGGUGGAAAGAAUUUUGGUCAGGGAUGGACUCGCGGCCUAUCAGCUUGUUGGUGAGGUAAUGGCUCACCAAGGCGACGACGGGUAGCCGGCCUGAGAGGGUGACCGGCCACACUGGGACUGAGACACGGCCCAGACUCCUACGGGAGGCAGCAGUGGGGAAUAUUGCACAAUGGGCGAAAGCCUGAUGCAGCGACGCCGCGUGAGGGAUGACGGCCUUCGGGUUGUAAACCUCUUUCAGUAGGGAAGAAGCGAAAGUGACGGUACCUGCAGAAGAAGCGCCGGCUAACUACGUGCCAGCAGCCGCGGUAAUACGUAGGGCGCAAGCGUUAUCCGGAAUUAUUGGGCGUAAAGAGCUCGUAGGCGGUUUGUCGCGUCUGCCGUGAAAGUCCGAGGCUCAACUUCGGAUCUGCGGUGGGUACGGGCAGACUAGAGUGAUGUAGGGGAGACUGGAAUUCCUGGUGUAGCGGUGAAAUGCGCAGAUAUCAGGAGGAACACCGAUGGCGAAGGCAGGUCUCUGGGCAUCUACUGACGCUGAGGAGCGAAAGCAUGGGGAGCGAACAGGAUUAGAUACCCUGGUAGUCCAUGCCGUAAACGUUGGGCACUAGGUGUGGGGGACAUUCCACGUUUUCCGCGCCGUAGCUAACGCAUUAAGUGCCCCGCCUGGGGAGUACGGCCGCAAGGCUAAAACUCAAAGGAAUUGACGGGGGCCCGCACAAGCGGCGGAGCAUGCGGAUUAAUUCGAUGCAACGCGAAGAACCUUACCAAGGCUUGACAUGUGCUAGAUCGCCAUA